rnacentral:lncRNA from 1 species
GUUUAGUAUGCGAACCUGAGUCACCACUGUAGUGCGGCACUGUGAUAGUGGUCAUCGACGAACCAAUUUAACACAAGAAUUCUCCCAAUACAAACAACUAAACAGUGACAUCCUCGAUCGUGAUGUAAAAGCAUUAUUCCCAGCAGAAAUGACGCACAAGAACCAUGCAUCCGAUUGAUAAGCCCACAGAUGCGUGUCAUUACCUGACGGCAAGUGAGGCAUCUCUCUUUCUCAUUCACUGUACAUGAUCGCUACACUGGUACCCAUCACGACAACUGUUCCACCGUGACCUAAGAUGCCCCACAAACAUUGUCUGCCGAAGCGAAAGACGAAGGUCCGAUGGGCUCGAUUCCACCGUAGAACAGGUGGGGUUGUGAGUGAGAGCCACAACAUGGUCUAUCCUGCGAGAGAGCUAAUGGAAAUGGACCAAGUUGCAAGGCCAUACUUUGCCAUGCUCACAAUGCGACAAUGCAACACGAACGUCGAAAGAGUGACAUACCGUGGACAUGGGCCAUACAAACCGGAUGAUACUGCCUAUUACCAGUCUUGGGUACUCCCUGUUUCGAGGAACCAAUGGUCGACUCUGCCGGUUGUUUUGGUCCAAGAAGAAAACCGCUGGCUUCUGCCUCUUGUUCCACCAUCGCCUUCGUCCUUUGAGGUUCUAUAUAUACGCCUCUUUCGAUCGCCCUUCGAAUGAUCGGCCCAUCGCACAGAAUUUCCUCUUUUCCUACCGCAACACUAUCAUCUUCUCUUGUACAGGAUGAAGUUCGGAAACAAGGCAUGCGUGGCUGUGACUUUGGGAGCUGCAAUUGAACUAAAAGAUCAAGUGGCCAAACCGUAUUCGUCGGCUAUUAAGGGAAACCUGUCGACGAUUGGAUCAUCGACAGCCGAAGUCGGACGGUUCCAUAGCACGCCCGAGAGCCCAACGAGCGAAUUCAGGCCUCACGAUAAGAAGCAUUUAGCUGGGGAGGAGUCACUGAGGACGGUGAUGUACUUGAGCUGCUGGGGUCCGAGCUGACCAGCUGAGACACAAUUGGCGUGCUGGGUCGUCUUCACUUCACCGUAGCCCACGCUUGCUCUCUGGGUACUCCUUGCAGCACGAAUUCCAACACGGAGGUACGCCCAUAACAUCGCAGAGAUGCUGCACCAAGGCUCCCAAGUUUGAAGCCAAGAAGGGCCUCGAGGAGCUGAAUACAUGUACAAAGCAAUGUGAUCUUUUCAGAAUUUUGUAUUCAGUCUAUAAUCAAUGAUAAAUAAAACGCUAUAAACAGAGGUACUUUUGCAUGAAAGAAGACGAACCCCUUCUAUAUGCUGUACAAUACACAACGUACAUACACUGCUACAUAAAGAAAUCAAGUCCGCUUGCAUGUAGCAUGUACGUAUACCGUGCAACUUUGUCCUCAAUGUUGCUUAUUCUACUUCGAUGUGUGAUGAAUCUAAAGUCACAUUUAUGGCUCCUUAAUCUCUAACGAGUUUGAUGUCAAAGAAGGUAAAUGCAAAUGGCCACAAGAAAACACGGACUUAUGGAAUUGAAUCAUAAUUAAAACUAAAUUUUGGAUGAAUUGCGUCCGAGCUUAUCUCUGGAAACCCUCAGAGUCAACGAAACUAUGAUUGCUGAAGCAGAUCGGACAGGCCCCCAUCCUCAUCUGAUCGUGAGGUUGUGGCGUCCCAUCACUUUUAAGGUCUCGAUAUAAAUCAUGUUAGGAAACUAUAGGGGAUGUAAAGCUUAAGGCACCGGCCGUAAUUUUGAUGCUUUUCAUCCGUACUUAUACUCUCCUUCCUUCGUUAACCACGUCGUAUUUCUCGGUCAGCAGAAUUAAUUCUUUGCAUCUUUAAUCGUCUAUUUACCGUGGCUUUCCGAUCAAGGGCGGAUCCUCUCUGAUGUGAUGAAGCAUCUUUGAUCAUGGCAUAUGAUUGCUCCCUCGACAGGGUUCCAAUCGUGGGCCCCCACCCCCACAUCCAACCUCCCUAAAGGACAAGAGAAACUUAUUAGCUGCUCAUUAGCCAGCACACGGUGACUCACCGGGUCACCACCUUCUCUUUGGUGACGGAUAAGGCCGAGAGGGCAGCUUUCCCUAUCCAUCGCACGCUACCCCACAAAGUCUCCGAUUUCUCUUUGUUCUUUUCUCAAUUUUUUUUUACAAUAGAUUAUGACAAUUUAGACUUGUUUUUGUUUGGGAUCCACUCCGAUCGCUGUUCUCUUCAAAUUCCAAUGGGAUCCCUCCAGCAUUCCACAGCCCUUGCGGAGGAUCCCAUCAUGACACCGAACAAUUAAUCGCAAACAGAAACAGGGCGUCAGAAUAAUGAUUUCUCCCGGACGACUUAACUCACGACCUAACUCACCUGGUUCCCACUAGAGUUAAAGUGCCCCCUACGCUCGCUUUCAUCUGUAUGAUGUGUCCCUUUUUUUAUCUUCGUUUAAUUCCUAAUACCGGAAACCACGAUUCUCCACCCACGGUUUUUCAGAAAACCGCUUCUCGUCCCUCGCUAUAAAUAACCCCAUACCCCCAACCCGGUUUCAUCUCCUUCGGCUGCACGGCCCUCCGGUAAACGAUUGAAUUCGCACCAAAGUUAUACCAAGAAGGAUCGAGAACGAUCCGUGGUGCUCGUCAGAUCAGGAUCGAAAGGGAUCUGCGAAAGAAUGAGUUACCUGAAUCGAGUCUGGAUGGCAGCGACGGUGGCGGUGGUGCAGGGACACACCGACCACGGAAUCAACUCCAGCCAGCUCCGCUCCCUCCACCGUGCCGGGGACCGCCUAGCCUCCGCCGCGGCCGCGGCCGCUGCCACGGGGGUCGGGAUCGGGCGGGCUCUAGGUGGAGCCGGCGCCGAGGAGCGCCGGAAGCAGGCGGAC